UAGGGAAUCUUCCACAAUGGACGCAAGUCUGAUGGAGCAACGCCGCGUGAGUGAAGAAGGUUUUCGGACCGUAAAGCUCUGUUGUUGGUGAAGAAGGAUAGAGGUAGUAACUGGCCUUUAUUUGACGGUAAUCAACCAGAAAGUCACGGCUAACUACGUGCCAGCAGCCGCGGUAAUACGUAGGUGGCAAGCGUUGUCCGGAUUUAUUGGGCGUAAAAGCGAGCGCAGGCGGAAGAAUAAGUCUGAUGUGAAAGCCCUCGGCUUAACCGAGGA
rnacentral:rRNA from 1 species